UAAAGACACUGUUAGACUUUGACCAAGUUUCUCAUAGUGUUUCCAAUUGAAAAUGCCUGGCUCCUGCAAAUCCAAAUCAUAAAAUCUGGGCUAUGCACUUUUGUGCUCUCAGGAAAAUGAAGAUUUCAGUCUACGAAGGACUGCAGCCGAUGAGUGUUGGACAAAAAGCAGGUCUAGGCUGUCUAAAGACCCAGUAAAAACAGCUGCCAAAUAAGCACAGCGAUUCUUUCCAGGACAAAGGACUCCACAUUCCUGCUAUUGCUGCUCAGAGGUUUGCAGGUCCCCAAGGAGACAAGUGGCAGCAUCAAGAGAGAACCAAGAAACUAACUUUUUGAAGAAGGAGGGAGUGAUCUCAACAAGUAAGAAGAAAUCUAAAGGCUUGACUACACAGACCAAAGAAAGAUGGAAAGAGAUAAAUUAAUUUGAUGUGGAACCUCUCUUUUGCAAAUGGAAACAUUAUGUUAAGAAAAUUAUCUGCAAACUCACCCCCCCCCCCCCAAUACAAUUUUUAAAACACCUGUAAAACCAUAUUGCACAGAGGAUGGCAAUGGCAAACCCACUCUGAAGAAACUUGCCAAGAAAACCUGAUGACACGUUCCUCUUAGUGUCGCCACAAGUCAGAAACGACAUAACAACAACAAAAAAAAUCGUAUUGGGACAUAUCUGUAAGAGAGAUCAGAAAUAUGUAAGUUUUUUUUUUAAAAAAAAUCUAAUUCCUUAUCAUUUCCUUCUGGUAUGUAUGUGUUUAUACUGUAUAUCUAGUCCUUCUGUCUGUGUCUGUCUGUCUGUCUGUCUCUCUAUCUAUUGGUCUACCUACCUACCUACCUACCUACCUAUCUGCCUGAAUAGGUUCUAAUUUGUAUUAUGAUGUUUCUAUAUUUUUCUAAAGGAGAUUUCUUCCCUAUUCAGACAUCGUGAGAGCAAACGAACAAGAAAAUGCAAAAAAGGUCACUCAUUCCCCAUGGCACCAGGAGACUUCCCUGAAGGAAUUCAUGUUCUCACUUAUGUGGAACAUUAGUUCAGCUGCUUGUGCUGUAAUCUCUCACAGUUAUUUUCAGGAGGCACUUGUGAGAACUUGAGGGCGCAUGGUAUUAGAUGGAUGGGUAGAUAAAUGAUAGAUGGAUAGAUAGUUUUAUUUUUUAAAAUAUGACGAACUAGUUAUUAUCAUAAUCAUUAUUAUAUUUAUGUA